UGACGUUAGCGGCGGACGGGUGAGUAACACGUGGGUAACCUACCUAUAAGACUGGGAUAACUUCGGGAAACCGGAGCUAAUACCGGAUAAUAUUUUGAACCGCAUGGUUCAAAAGUGAAAGAUGGCUCUGCUAUCACUUAUAGAUGGACCCGCGCCGUAUUAGCUAGUUGGUAAGGUAACGGCUUACCAAGGCGACGAUACGUAGCCGACCUGAGAGGGUGAUCGGCCACACUGGAACUGAGACACGGUCCAGACUCCUACGGGAGGCAGCAGUAGGGAAUCUUCCGCAAUGGGCGAAAGCCUGACGGAGCAACGCCGCGUGAGUGAUGAAGGUCUUCGGAUCGUAAAACUCUGUUAUUAGGGAAGAACAUACG
rnacentral:rRNA from 2 species